rnacentral:lncRNA from 1 species
UUUUGCCAUUCCAAACCCCUCCAUCCUCCCCUAAAAACCUCUGUGGUGCUCCCAAGUCAGAAUCUCAGGUGAGGUUUCCAGCAGAACUGAGCUCCCCAGACCUGCUGGCUCUGACUCUGAAUUUCUGUCUCUGCCAGACUGUAGUGACUGAUUCCCUCCUCCCUUUUGCCUCUUUUCCUGCUCUCUCCAUCACUCCAGCCUUCCCCAGGGAUGCUCAGUGUGGAAUCAUCCCAUGGGAGCAGUGCCAGGAGAGUGUGCUGGGUGCUGGUAACUUCCAGGCCUUACCUGGAAUCUCUCCUCUCCCAGAUUCCCGAGGUUUUGGAGUGCCCAAAUUCCACAGAAACCCUCCAGACCUUCCCUGGAAUCUUUCUUCACUCCCAGAUUCCAGAGGGGUUUUGGAGAUCCCAAAUUCCACAGAUCUUUCCUCACUCCCAGAUUCCAGAGAGGUUUUGGAGAGCCCAAAUUCCAGAGAAACCCUCCAGACAUUACCUGGAAUCUCUCCUCACUCCCUGAGUAAUGCAGCCCGAAUUCCAGAGGUUUUGGAGAGCCCAAAUUCCACAGAAACCCUCCAGACCUUACCUGGAAUAUUUCUUCACUCCCAAAUUGCAGAGGUUUU